UUAAAUUGAUGGCAAGGACGAGAGGGAAUAGUUAGGUGUGAAGCGUGGGCCAGUUUUAUGUGGCGUAAAUGGAGUGCGGUUGGUAUCUGAAGACUAAUGGGAAAACCCACGACUUGACCGUGGGGGGUCAUUGGAAACUGGGAAACUUGAGUACAGAAGAGGAAGGUGGAACUCCAUGUGUAGCGGUUGAAUGCGUAGAUAUAUGGAAGAACACCAGUGGCGAAGGCGACUCUCUGGUCUGUAACUGACGCUCAUGCACGAAAGCGUGGGGAGCAAACAGGAUUAGAUACCCCAGUAGUC
rnacentral:rRNA from 1 species